CUGCAUGAAGCUGGAAUCGCUAGUAAUCGCAGAUCAGAAUGCUGCGGUGAAUACGUUCCCGGGUCUUGUACACACCGCCCGUCACACCAUGGGAGUUGGAAAUGCCCGAAGUCAGUGACCGAACCGAAAGGAAGGAGCUGCCGAAGGUGGAGCCGAUGACUGGGGUGAAGUCGUAACAAGGUAUC
rnacentral:rRNA from 1 species